CCCUACGGGGGGCGGCAGUGGGGGAUAUUGCACAAUGGGGGGAACCCUGAUGCAGCGACGCCGCGUGGGUGAAGAAGCGCCUCGGCGCGUAAAGCCCUGUCAGCAGGGAAGAAAAUGACGGUACCUGAAGAAGAAGCCCCGGCUAACUACGUGCCAGCAGCCGCGGUAAUACGUAGGGGGCAAGCGUUAUCCGGAUUUACUGGGUGUAAAGGGGGCGCAGACGGCGAUGCAAGCCAGGAGUGAAAGCCCGGGGCCCAACCCCGGGACUGCUCUUGGAACUGCGUGGCUGGAGUGCAGGAGGGGCG
rnacentral:rRNA from 1 species